UACGGGGGGGGCAAGCGUUGUUCGGAAUUACUGGGCGUAAAGGGUUCGUAGGUGGCCAACUAAGUCAGAUGUGAAAUCCCUCAGCUUAACUGGGGAACUGCGUCUGAGACUGGAUGGCUUGAGGACAGGAGAGGAACGCGGAAUUCCAGGUGUAGCGGUGAAAUGCGUAGAUAUCUGGAGGAACACCGGUGGCGAAGGCGGGUCUCUGGGCCGUAACUGACGCUGAGGAGCGAAAGCAUGGGGAGCGAACAGG
rnacentral:rRNA from 1 species